GGACACUCUAAGAUUGAUGAAUGGUACACCACAAAUAGAGGAAGCAAUUGCAUCCAGGCCCCACUAACCUGGCUUGUGCACCUCACUGAAUUUCUAGAACAAGUGUUCUCUUUGGUAUUUUUCCGCCGAAUGAACAUCUCUCGUCGGCAAAUAAACCUCAAGUUCUAUCUUCGAGGCCUUUUCCAUACUUUUUUUUAGCUAAAUCUAAAAUCCGAUUGUGUAAAUCAAUAAAUGUAACAAAUUUAUAUUGACAUACUUCAUCUUUGAUGAUUCUGGUGUUGGUUUUUGAUAAUAUAUACUUAGUCGUCCAUAA